rnacentral:rRNA from 1 species
CCUACGGGAGGCAGCAGUGAGGAAUAUUGGUCAAUGGCCGGAAGGCUGAACCAGCCAUGCCGCGUGAAGGUCAGUGCCCUAUGGGCGUUAAACUUCUUUUGUGCGGGAGCAAUAAUGGUCACGUGUGGCCAGACGAGAGUACCGUACGAAUAAGCAUCGGCUAACUCCGUGCCAGCAGCCGCGGUAAUACGGGGGAUGCAAGCGUUAUCCGGAUUUAUUGGGUUUAAAGGGUGCGUAGGCUGUGAGGUAAGUCAGCGGUGAAAUGCCCCCGCUCAACGGGGUGAAGUGCCAUUGAUACUGCCUGGCUGGAAUGCGGAUGCCGUGGGAGGAAUGUGUAGUGUAGCGGUGAAAUGCAUAGAUAUCACACAGAACACCGAUUGCGAAGGCAUCUCACGAAUCCGCGAUUGACGCUGAUGCACGAAAGCGUGGGUAUCAAACAGGAUUAGAUACCCUUGUAGUC